rnacentral:rRNA from 1 species
GAUCAUGGCUCAGGAUGAACGCUAGCGACAGGCCUAACACAUGCAAGUCGAGGGGCAGCACGAAUCAAGCUUGCUUGAUUUGGUGGCGACCGGCGCACGGGUGCGUAACAGGUGUGCAAUCUGUCCCAUAAUCGGGGAAUAGCCCAGCGAAAGUUGGAUUAAUGCUCCAUGGUGAGUAAGAGAGGCAUCUCUUUAUUGAAACGCAAGGAUUAUGGGUGAGCACGCUUCUGAUUAGGUAGUUGGUGGGGUAACGGCCUACCAAGCCGACGAUCGGUAGCCGGACUGAGAGGUUGAACGGCCACAUUGGGACUGAGACACGGCCCAGACUCCUACGGGAGGCAGCAGUGGGGAAUAUUGCACAAUGGGGGAAACCCUGAUGCAGCGACGCCGCGUGAGCGAAGAAGAUCUUCGGAUUGUAAAGCUCUGUCUUAGGGGACGAUAAUGACGGUACCCUGAGAGGAAGCCACGGCUAACUACGUG